rnacentral:rRNA from 1 species
AACAAACGCUGGCGGCGUGUUUAAGACAUGCAAGUCGCACGGGAUAAGACAUGUAGUAAUACUUGUUUUAUUUAGUGGCGCACGGGUGAGUAACACGUGAAUUACAUGCCCUAUAGUGGGGAAUAGCCCAGGGAAACUUGGAUUAAUACCCCAUGGUAUCGACAGUUUAAAGGUGGCCGCAAGGCUGUCGCUAUAGGAUUGGUUCGUGCCCUAUCAGGUUGUUGGUGAGGUAACGGCUCACCAAGGCAAUGACGGGUACCUGGUCUGAGAGGACGAUCAGGCACACUGGAACUGAGACACGGUCCAGACACCUACGGGUGGCAGCAGUCGAGAAUAAUUCACAAUGGGGGCAACCCUGAUGGUGCAACGCCGCGUGGAGGAUGACGGUCUUCGGAUUGUAAACUCCUGUCAUCUGGGAGAAAGACCUGACGGUAAAUAGCCGGCAGGGUUGAUAGUACCAGAAGAGGAAGGGACGGCUAACUUCGUGCCAGCCGCCGCGGUAA